GACGAACGCUGGCGGCGUGCUUAACACAUGCAAGUCGAACGGAAAGGCCCUGCUUUUGUGGGGUGCUCGAGUGGCGAACGGGUGAGUAACACGUGUGUAACCUGCCCUUAACUUUGUGAUAACUUCAGGAAACUGGGGCUAAUACCGGAUAGGAUCUCCUGCUGCAUGGUGGGGGUUGGAAAGUUUCGGCGGUUGUGGAUGGACUCGCGGCUUAUCAGCUUGUUGGUGGGGUAGUGGCUGACCAAGGCUUUGACGGGUAGCCGGCCUGAGAGGGUGACCGGCCACAUUGGGACUGAGAUACGGCCCAGACGCCUACGGGAGGCAGCAGUGGGGAAUAUUGCACAAUGGGCGGAAGCCUGAUGCAGCAACGCCGCGUGCGGGAUGACGGCCUUCGGGUUGUAAACCGCUUUCGACUGUGACGAAGCGUGAGUGACGGUAAUGGGUAAAGAAGCACCGGCUAACUACGUG
rnacentral:rRNA from 1 species